GGCCCCGGGACACACGGGGCUCCCCGGUGACUUCAGAGAGGGUCUCAGACGAGUUUCAGGCGUGGCCUGGGCAGCGCAAAGCUGCUUGCUCCACACGACAGGUGACAGGUGACACGCACAGAGGUCUCGGGCAGACCUUUCUCUCAGAAAAGAUACGACGCAUAAUCUUCCCCAAGAUACCACUUUGCACCCGUGAGACCAGCGACGAAAACAAAGGCCGUUAGCGCUACAUUAGCUCAGUCGUUCCCCACGCGGUGGGUACUCCUGAGGCCACGUGGCAAAACUCUCAAAACGACAAGGGCAGGCGCGCUCCUACCCAACGGCGGGUCUACUGCCACCACUCGCGUUGGAAAAAGAAAGGGAAUACGGCCAAGACCAUGUGUGCGCACGCAGACAUAGAAUAUUCUGGAAGGCGACGCAAGGAAGCAGUGACCAUGGCUGGCUCCAAGCAGGUGGUCAGAAUAGAGCUGUCAUGGCCCUGCCUGCCCCCGUGACCUCACCUCCUCCUGCUUGGCCCCUCAUUCCUGCCACACGCCCUUCUUCAGUGCUCAUCAGCUCACCCAACAUGUUCCUGUCUCAGGGCCUUUGCACCUGCUGCUCCGUCUGCCUGGAACACUGCCUGUGCAUGGCUGGCUCUGAUGUGCGCACGGCAAGAGGCCCUCAGCCGCCUCGUCCCCACUUUACCUCCCUUUACUGCCAUCACUGCAAAAUCUACCCGUCUGAGUCUCGUGCUCACACACUCCUUUCUGCCUCUAUUUGGGGCAGGGACUUUGAGCUGCUCACUGCCCUUCCCCGGGGUCCGGUGCAGUACCUGGCAUGUAGCAGACACCCAACCACAGAUAGAAGGUCGUGCCAGAACAGUGCUGGUCUGGGCUCUGUCCCCCACGGGAAGGGGGGUGCAGGGGUAGGCGGCGAGGUUAGGGCCCCCCCGCCCAGGAUCCCCAUGGGCGGGAAGCCGCAGCCCACUGUACAGACAGGAACACUAACACUCGGUCAACGGAGACACUGACCUUGGCCAUCUUCUGCCUCCAUGUGAGCCCCACCUGUCGCCUUCCUUUCAAAGGUAUGAAGCCCCUAACUCGUUCUGAAAACUGCUCAAGAUGUACCGGCUGAAUGGAGGCCUUUACCACCCCCUGUUCAUGGAGCUCCCAGCCCCCACUGGAGUAAAGCCCAAGUUCUGCCCUCCUCCCCUCCCACCUGGCAGCUUCUCUCCCUGAGCACCUGCUGCUCUCCACUCUCCUUCCCCACUCUCUCCCAGACCAGCUCUCGCAGGCUUGCUUGCUGCCAGGCUCGCUCGCGCGCUCUCUCUCUCUCCCCCUUUCCCCUCUCUC